rnacentral:rRNA from 1 species
GGCGACGACGGGUAGCUGGUCUGAGAGGACGACCAGCCACACUGGGACUGAGAUACGGCCCAGACUCCUACGGGAGGCAGCAGUGGGGAAUCUUGCGCAAUGGGCGAAAGCCUGACGCAGCGACACCGCGUGAGGGACGAAGGCCCUCGGGUUGUAAACCUCUUUCGGCAGGGACGAAGCGAUUGUGACGGUACCUGCAGAAGAAGCUCCGGCUAACUACGUGCCAGCAGCCGCGGUAAGACGUAGGGAGCGAGCGUUGUCCGGAUUUAUUGGGCGUAAAGAGCGCGCAGGCGGCUUGGUAAGUCGGAUGUGAAAACCCGGAGCUCAACUCCGGGCGUGCAUCCGAAACUGCCCGGCUAGAGGUAGGUAGGGGAGAUCGGAAUUCCUGGUGUAGCGGUGGAAUGCGCAGAUAUCAGGAGGAACACCGGUGGCGAAGGCGGAUCUCUGGGCCUUACCUGACGCUCAGGCGCGAAAGCUAGGGGAGCAAACAGGAUUAGAUACCCUGGUAGUCCUAGCUGUAAACGUUGGGUGCUAGGUGUGGGCGGACAUCGACCCCGUCCGUGCCGAAGCUAACGCAUUAAGCACCCCGCCUGGGGAGUACGGCCGCAAGGCUAAAACUCAAAGGAAUUGACGGGGCCCCGCACAGCGGCGGAGCAUGUUGCUUAAUUCGAUGCGACGCGAGGAACCUUACCUGGGCUUGACAUGCGGGGUGAAACCCGUGAAAGCGGGCGCUCUUCGGAGCCUGCACAGGUGGUGCAUGGCUGUCGUCAGCUCGUGCCGUGAGGUGUUGCCUUAAGUGGCGCAACGAGCGCAACCCCUGUCCUUAGUUGCCAGCGGAUCAUGCCGGGAACUCUAGGGAGACUGCCGGUGCCAAACCGGAGGAAGGUGGGGAUGACGUCAAGUCAUCAUGCCCCUUAUGCCCAGGGCUGCAAACAUGCUACAAUGCUCGGUACAAAGGGCUGCGAUCCCGCAAGGGGGAGCGAAUCCCAGAAAGCCGGGCUCAGUUCGGAUCGGGGUCUGCAACUCGACCCCGUGAAGUUGGAGUCGCUAGUAAUCGCAGGUCAGCACUGCCGCGGUGAAUACGUUCCCGGGGCUUGUACACACCGCCCGUCACACCACGAAAGUGGGCAACACCCGAAGCCGGUGGCCUAACCCUUGUGGAGGGAGCCGUCGAAGGUGGGGCUCGCGAUUGGGGUGAAGUCGUAACAAGGUA